rnacentral:rRNA from 1 species
ACGGGUGAGUAACACGUAGGCAACCUGCCUGUAAGACUGGGAUAACUCGCGGAAACGCGAGCUAAUACCGGAUAACACUUUCUAUCACCUGAUGGAAAGUUGAAAGGCGGCUUUUGCUGUCACUUACAGAUGGGCCUGCGGCGCAUUAGCUAGUUGGUGAGGUAACGGCUCACCAAGGCGACGAUGCGUAGCCGACCUGAGAGGGUGAUCGGCCACACUGGGACUGAGACACGGCCCAGACUCCUACGGGAGGCAGCAGUAGGGAAUCUUCCGCAAUGGACGAAAGUCUGACGGAGCAACGCCGCGUGAGUGAUGAAGGUUUUCGGAUCGUAAAACUCUGUUGUCAGGGAAGAACAAGUACGAUAGUAACUGAUCGUACCUUGACGGUACCUGACCAGAAAGCCACGGCUAACUACGUGCCAGCAGCCGCGGUAAUACGUAGGUGGCAAGCGUUGUCCGGAAUUAUUGGGCGUAAAGCGCUCGCAGGCGGUUCUUUAAGUCUGAUGUGAAAUCUUGCGGCUCAACCGCAAACGUGCAUUGGAAACUGGAGGACUUGAGUGCA